GGAAGAGGCGUUAGGGGUCUUUUAUGUUCAGGAGCUCUGGGGAACGAUUCCUUUGGAAACGAUCAGCGAAAGUGCAUGUUGUUGCAGCUCAAGUUCCUCACCCUUCCAUUCUCACCUAAGAUUAGUCCUCCAGCCUGAACCACUUCCCAUGAUGUGUCACAUCUCUGCCCUUCAAAAGACACCACAUGUUUCAGGAGCCAAUCUGUUAAAAAAUCCCAACAAUAUAGAAUCAAUAUCCUUCCCGUAAUUGUGCUGAAGUGAAGAUGGGGCAGAAGAUGCAAUCCAGACCAGCAUUUAGGGAUAUUUCAUUUCUUGGCUACAUCAUCCAGACCUGUGCAUCUGAAGAGGCACUAACUCAAGCUCUACACCGAUGUGCAGCCACUGCAGCCUCACAGAAAAGCUUCAGUUGACAUCUGUGCCGAACACAUCCUCCUCCUCCUUUUCAAGAGCCUCUUUAAUUGAAGGAAAAACAUUGUACAAUACAGAAAUCUUUCUUGAGUGACCACCCAAAGGAUUAGUGAAAAUGGGCUGCAUUGAUUUUUAUCUGACCUGCAGUAAAAAGUCCAGUCUGGGAAGGCUGAUACUAGAUACAGCCUAUAAGUCUGAUUGCAUUGAAUAGAGGUCAUAAGACACUGUAUAUAUGACAUAAGUCAUCCUGUAUUAAGAUGACUUUACCCAAAAAAUGUUCUAAUUUUUCUGACUGCCUCCUGCUUCAGGGAAGUGUGGUUGAACAAAGAGAUGCUGAACCACCAUCACCCUCUUCCACUCUGAUUUGAGUGUGGAGAGGAUCCAGAAUGUGCAUACUGUAACCUCACAAUUUCCAUAGCAACACUAAGAAGGGUCUUGUUAACCACAGGUAGCACAAAACACUCACAAAGGUUUUAAACCAUUCAGCAAGUCUCAAAAAAAAAAAAAAAAGGGCGCUAAAUAUGCUGAUUAUAACUUAAAAUUCUCUGAUAAGAGCAUAAUUUUCAGGUAGCAGUUGAAAAAGGAAAUCUCUUUCAGGCUGAAACAGUAUUGCUGUUCUGCUCAUCCAGGUUAUUGUAAGACAACAUAAGCAAAAUGUUCUGCUUUUUAAAAGAAAGGUAUUAUUUCUGUAGUUAAUAUGAAUCACGAGGGAAACUUUACUACAGAAAAGAACACAUCAUUACAUAUCAGUAAUUGUUGUUUUUCUAUAUAUCUGCUCUAUAAAGCUAUAACACAACCUACAGCCAAAGAGAAAUAGUGCAGUAAUGGGGCUAUUGCUCCCUCUACUGUAAAUAUGCAUGAUUUUGUACUACAGGUGAUACAAUACAAUCCAAGUAAUUAAAAGUACUUCAACUAAUCAAAAAACCAGCAACAAAAAACAUGUUUUCAGAAUGACUUAACCAAAUGAUUAUGUUUCCUCGCAAUGCAGUGGAAAGAAUAUCCAAAGAAACACGAUGCUUUUUGUUUCUUUUUUCACUAUAUUAAAAACCAGCAAGGUAUCUGCAGGUUUUAACUUAAAAACAUAAACACAUGAGGAAACCUUUCUGACACUGAUCACACUCUUGUUUCCUAGUGGCAAAGGAAAAAAAGAAAUAAUAAGUGCCCACUGGGAGGCAUUUUGACCUUUUGAACAGCCUCCCAUUAUGAACAUCAGCACUGAGGAAAUCAGCAAAUUAAUCAGGGAGAGUAGAAAAUAAACAAGAAGGUGAUUCAUGAGGAGAUUUACGGGGCUGAAUUGUACAUGCAUGGGAUAGCAGAUUACUGAAUCACACAGAGCCUUCUGUUACCAGAACUGCCUCAUUUCUCAGCUCAGCGCCGAGGUGCUGGGCUCACCCAAAAAGUCUUCAAACAAACUCUGAUUCUCUGUCAAAGGCCAAAGAUGCCAAACAUAAUUUUACCCAAACCAUCUAAAAAUAGAUUGUUAUUGAGCAGAGGACAGAGAGAAGUUGCCUUAGCACCAAAUUGUUCUUUCAGUGGCUUUAUUCCUUUGCAACCAGAGAUUCGUAAUUUAAGAAAAAAGCUGCUUCUCUCUUUUCUGCAAUAUUACAGUAAUGGAGAAUGAGAGUAUAGCCACUAGAUUUUUAGUGCAAGAUUCCUGCUGGGAGGCAAUAUGAAAUUGCCUUCUCUCUUUCUCAGUCUCUGCUAUGGCUCAAAGCAAUCAGCAGCAAAGGGAGUCCAGCCAAGGAGGGGCUGACGGCCGGUAAAUACCAGAACAUCACCCCUGGACCUGCCUGGCAUUUGCACAGGCAGCAGCAUCUUUGAUAAAGACUUCUAAGACCACAGGACAGAAAAGAUUCAUACGCCUCCAAACUUCCCAUCUAAAUAUUUCCCUUCUAUCAUUUCUCUAAAAUAUUUUACAGGAAGGAAUGAGAGAACUUUCAUUUUCUGCUGAUCUGAGUUACAUAGGAUAAGGUUCCUCAACUGAUUAGUUUUAACACACUCUCCACUCUUCAGCUUGGAUAAAGCACCUCUUCUUGAUUUAUCACUGAUUAAAAUCAAUAGUAAAAUCCUCACUGAUUUCACUGAGCAAUGGAUGAGCUCUUUGUGCUCUGCAGCCCACAAGGAUCUGAAAUCAUGACUGUAUUUAAACAUAAGAGAUUUUUUUCUUUUGUGCCAGGAAGCAGUGGCAGGCACUUUGGGGAGCAUCUUCCAAGCGUCUUGUUCACUCUGGGCUCCCUGCUUGAGGAAGCAUAUGGCUCUUUGGGCUUGAAGCCCCAUAAAUCUGCAUUAGUUUAAAAUGCAUGAAUGUGAAUCAUUAGCCUAAGAUUUCAGCGCUAAUAAAAGAGAACACAAGUUCAAUAUCACUUCUAAGCAUUUCUGACUUUGACAUUAUCGUGCCACUGACCACUCUUAGGACAGCUUUUUCCAGUGAUAAAAACUUAUUUUAAAGUUCAAAAAGACUUUUUUUUUCCUUUAGAAUCUUCAUGGACAAAUACCUUGUGAAGACUGCACACCCAAAAUAGCAGCACCAUCACUUGAAUCUAAUUAAAACCAUUAUUCAGAAACAUAUUUUAAAAUUCAAUGAGACCUGUAUAGCCAGCCUUGAGUUCAAUCUAGAGUUAUACUGGCCUGUGUAUAAUUGGAAUUACAGGGAUUCAUGAGCACAUACAAUUGCAAUUUUUUUUCCUCCACCAAGGUUUUUCAUUUUAGAAGAGGAAAGAAAUAAGUCACAAAAUAAAAAUUGUGCACUUCAGAAUACGCUAAAGUGAAAAGCGUCCACAAUAAGCAUCAAACAAAGAGAACAAAGGGGGGUUUGGCAUGAAAGACUUGGCCAAGUCUGGAACUACUUACAAAACUUUUAGUUCUAAACUGGUUUCGUGACCUGGACAGAAAGAUUUGAUAUUCAGGUGUGUUUGUUUUCAGACACAAGGAUUAUUGUCUUAAAUUAAACUUGAAAGUUCUAGAUGUUUAACCACCAACUGAAUUAACAAAAGCUAUUUAUUUCAAGUAAAGAGAAAACACACAUUAAAAUACAAGAAGGAAAUUCCUUCUUUACAUGCACCUCCUUUCCACUUUGAUUAUUCCUUAUCUAAAGACAAGAAAAAAUAAAAGUGAGAUAUAAUGCCAAAGUGGCUUUUCAUUACCUUAAUGCACCUCCAACUUCAAGCUUUCACCAAAACCUUGCAGCUGUUCCAGUGCUUGCUCUCUUUGUUGGGGCACAAAGAACAGAACAGAUAGAAAACAGUGAGCUUUUACUAAAACUUCUCUCUCCAACCAUACUUUAUUAAUUCAUCUGACAUUUCAUCCAUGGUAGAUUAGAGGAGGGUAGCAACAGGCUACUCCAGCUGCUCCACAUCACAGAAGAUGAGCAGAACUAAAGAGGAUAAAUUUCAAAGAUCCCAGAUCUUAAAUCACACUGCUAUCACAAAAAGAGAUAUGGUCUGCAAAGGCAAGGAAUAUCUUUUAUUAGUUGAGCAGGUAUAACUGGGAAACACCAGACAUGGUUUUGGGUGCAGAAUUCUUCCUCCAGGCCUUUGAAAUACUUUUCCCUAAAAAGAGGUACACAUUUGCCAAAACACAUCUGGUUUUUACCAAUAAUGCCAUCUCAUCUAGAAUGUAGAAUGUUUUGAUCUAUUAUUUGUCUUACUUACACUUUAAGGUUGGAUCGUCCCAGCUGCAACACUGCAAUGUUAUGGCAAGAUUGAAUCCUACAUUUGUUGUUAGUUUUGCAGCAGGUUGGGGAGGCACCAACAUCCUUUCAUCAUCCAGAAAUAGUUCUCCAACAAUAAUCUUAAAGCAUUUCCAGGCACAAAGAAGCCUCUGGUGACAAGAAAAGAAAUCUCCAUGUCAGAUGUAUGAGUAAAGCUCAGGACUCUGAUUUCGUCAUUAUGACUGGUUUAAUUAAUAAAUAUGAUAAUGUAUCAAGGCUGUGUCUUUUCAUUGUUUUGUUGCCCUUCACUUAAGCUGAUCCAAAGCUUACCUUUCAACUAGAUUUUCAUGGACUCUGGGUAAAACUAAAUUAACUAAUCCAAUUCAAUCAAUAAAGAACUUAUCUCUCAUUGGCA